AAGUCAGAUGAGUGCAUGAGCAGC
rnacentral:piRNA from 1 species